rnacentral:rRNA from 1 species
CCCUUUGUGACGCACUGAACAGUUGCCUCGGCGGCAGGCCCUCCAGGGGGCAGACCGCCGGCGGAAACCAAACUCUUGCAUUAUUGGCCUCUCUGAGAACUUAUUCAAUAAGUCAAAACUUUCAACAACGGAUCUCUUGGCUCUGGCAUCGAUGAAGAACGCAGCGAAAUGCGAUAAGUAAUGUGAAUUGCAGAAUUCAGUGAAUCAUCGAAUCUUUGAACGCACAUUGCGCCCGCCAGCAUUCUGGCGGGCAUGCCUGUCCGAGCGUCAUUUCAACCAUCAAGCUCCGGCUUGUGUUGGAGCCCUGCGGCCGCCGCAGCCUCCUAAAAUUAGUGGCGGGCUCGCUAUCACACCGAGUGCAGUAGUUUACUCUUCGCUCAGGGCGUGCAGCGGGUCUCAGCCGUGAAACCCCCACUUUUAAGGUUGACCUCGGAUCAGGUAGGAAUACCCGCUGAACUUAAGCAUAUCAAU